AUUAUUUCAAAAUUCAUCAAGCCUAACAUUCUCAACAUUAUUCUACCAAUUUACAACUCUAAAUUCACAUUCACUAAAUCUGAUAUUACUCUAAUCCUACCAAGAAGCUUCAAGUCGGAUCGAAACCUACACCACACAAGAUUUUAUUUAUAAUCAUAAUCUCAAUAUAUGUUAGAGAGCCAAACAUUUGUGACAACUUUCCACGAAUAUACCCAACGUGUCAUCGUUCUCAAACCACUAUAAAGUGUUCUUAAUUUUAAUGUUCAAUCUUGG
rnacentral:lncRNA from 1 species